CACCAGCGCCACAAGUGGGGACCAGUAUUAUUGGGUCUAAAGCGUUCGUAGCCGGCCAUGUGAAUCUUUUGUGAAAUUGUUAGGCUUAACCUAACAGCGGGCAGAAGACACUGCAUGGCUUGAGAUCGGGAGGAGUAAGAGGUAUUCGAGGGGUAGCGGUAAAAUGCAAUAAUCCCUCGAGGACCACCAGUGGCGGAGGCGUCUUACCAGAACGAGUCUGACGGUUAGGAACGAAAGCCAGGGGA
rnacentral:rRNA from 1 species